CACGCCGUAAACGAUGGAUACUAGGUGUGGGAGGUAUCGACCCCUUCCGUGCCGCAGCUAACGCAAUAAGUAUCCCGCCUGGGGAGUACGAUCGCAAGGUUGAAACUCAAAGGAAUUGACGGGGGCCCGCACAAGCGGUGGAGCAUGUGGUUUAAUUCGAUGCAACGCGAAGAACCUUACCAGGUCUUGACAUCCAACGAAUCCUGAUGAAAAUCGGGAGUGCCUUCGGGAGCGUUGAGACAGGUGG
rnacentral:rRNA from 1 species